rnacentral:rRNA from 1 species
GUCGCUAAUCGCUAAAGACCGGCAACCUAGUUAAACGAACUACGCAAAGUCUGGCAAGCUAGCUACGCCACUUUUUAAGACCGGCAACCUAGCGGGGGGCGCGGACAUCGUUACUUAUCAAUGACGGGAGAGGGCCAGAGAGAGUGAAGCGCCUGAGCAAGGCCAGAGCGACGGCACACCCCAUUGGUCGUCUACCCCGGGCGUACAGUAAACGAACCCGACCCCGCGCAGGGCACGCCGGGCAGCCGCGCCAGGUUGCCAUUUUCUAGAGUACGGUGGCGGCUUUAAGGGCAGGGGGCGGCUCCCGUAAAAUCAGUAAAGCGCAGAUCCAGUUGUGAACGGCAAAACGCUAAGCGACGAAGGAGGGGGGUUACUCACAUCCCAAGCUAGAGAGGAGUGAGAGAAAGAAGGGGCGUGCAGAGAGAGCCCUCUCUCGACGGCGGCGGCGGUCAGUAGGAGGAGCGGAGAGGAGGAGGGGUAUCCGGGGGUAGUUCGAGCGCGAGUGACGAGACCCAGCGCGCGGCGGCGCGGGGGCCAGUUGAGACGUGCCCGGCGGAGGGAGGAGGAGGAGGGGUAGCCCUAGCCCGUCCUCCUCGCGUCCGAGCCGCGGCCGGGAGCGCUCACUCCAUCCUGCGCGCGUCCUCCCUCGCCGCCUCGUUCCAGAGACAGUUAGACGACAACACCAACGAUAACACCAGUAGCUAAACGUCUGAGCAGACGACAACGGCCACGGGACUGAACGAGACGAAAAUCUGAUUAUGCAGAUAUCUAAAUCUAUGAACUACAAUAUAUAACGAUUAAACGUCCAUAUUGAGUUUGAACUAUUAGAUAUCUAAAUCUAUGAACUACAAUAUAUAAAAAGAGACCAGAGGACUUACAACCACGACUAAUUAUGCAUCAUAAUUUACAUACGUAGAAAGAGUAAGACUUUUAAAGGGACGAAAGGACUGGUAGUUUACAGAUAACUGGUAACAAUGAGAACGGACCUCAUCAGACAAUGUGAAUAGUCCGGAUCCGUCCCGUAAGUGUGAUGGCUUUUCAAACCAAAGUCAUUCUGAAUUAGACCAUUGGAUAAAACAGGAAGAGAAGCGCCAAACCCUCUCUAUGGCGUCUCUUCUGGUGGUCUCUUUACCAGCAGGGCCUGGGUCUGAUAGUAGCGAUAUUAAACACUCGAGAUCUCCGUUCAAGAUGUCCUGCCGCCAAGCUGGGCGUUACAACAUACCGCGCCUCACAACCGGCUGAUUUUCCGCUGUACAAGUUGUCAAUCCACACCGCCUCUACGCAUACAACUCUACCUACACACCGGUGUGCUCCUUCCUAGCUCAGGCCUUACUACUAUAUGCUCUAUCUCAACCCCAUCGUGGUUAACUCCUCUUCGAACAGGUUGUAGCAAACUCUACCAAACCCGUAUAAGUCGCGUCCGGAGGUCUUCGAGGUCACGUAUCGCCUGCCGAUUUCGCACGCCUCUUACAGUUCUCUCCCGCCCCAGCUGGCUAAAACUGUACCCUCCUCAGGCAAUUCUCUCUGGACUUCCUAACCUCAUAGCUGUUUCUCGAUCGAUACCUGUCCCCACGCACCUUCGAACGAUAGGUACACGGUCUCGGUACUCAACCAACGCUCUAGAAUACCCAAAGUGGAGAUCGGAUGGGGUUGAACAAACCCUGAUUUCCGAAACAACAACAACAACAACAACAACAACAGACCAUCCGGCCAUUAUACAGGUAGGUAAUUGGUCAUGAAACAGCAUUACGUCCCUAUAUACCACACAGACGUAUACGUAUUUUACAAGAACAGCGACGUGGACAUCUGGAUGACCCCGACGAAGAGAACAAAGUCCUAACGUUUUUCCACAGCCGAACUCUAACUGGUGUAGACAACAUAGAUGGACCUCCGGCCGAGAGAGUCAAGUGAGUUCUCGUAGAAACAAGGCGACAUCUACUUUUACAUUCUACGGUCUCGGUGCUGCACUCACGCAGACGAAGGGGAAUCCUCCUUCAACUUCCACAAUGGUAAGUACCUGUACCUUGUCUUCGACGGGUCUAUAGACGUCCAGUGGACGCGUGCUACACAGGUAAACUAAGUUUAAAACUUUGUACUCUCGACCUUUUCGUCUCCGACCUAAUGUUUUUGCCGUCGUCUGACCUACGACUUCAAGUAGAUAGGAGGUAACUAGGAAACUACACAUGUGUAUAUCUUCGCGACUUCUGACAAGCCACUGACUACACUUCGUUUCAAGUUACCGAGGAAGUCACGAUAUAUCUCAACCUAGUCGGUAAGGCGUCAGCUACGUUACAAGCUUCGUGAUUCGUCUCCUUGCGAUAACGACGAAAGCUUUACGAUAACCUAGAAUAUUUCUAAAAACCUGGACAAUAAGUAAGUUGUAACAGUCGAUCGAGUGGGUAACCUCAUCUUGAAGUUCGGCUUGUCUCCACGGUACAACACCUAUUGUUCCUCUAAUAGUUCCACCUCGUCGCCACUCAUACCUCGGGUAUUAGUAGUCAAGUAGUGGUACUUCGUCUUCUUUACCAUAUCGAAACGGUACGACCUGAAACCCUCGGCGACGAGGAGCCGUUGUCCUCCAUGUCGGCGACGGUGGUGAGGAAGUGUCGCUGCGUCCGGUCGCUGCUCCUCCGAGCGUUACCACCCCCUGGGUAUUGGUAGGCGGUCUCUCCUCUUUCCGUAUGGGUGGGGAAAAUUACUAACUUUACGUCCAGGUCCCUUUUGUAGACGUGAUGACAACCCGGUUAACUACGAUCCACAUGUAACUCUACAAAGUCUUUAUCUAGGAACUACGGCUUGUAUCACGUUACCAGGAGUGUAGUGUUGUGGGCUCGUUCCGACCGUUCCGAACGAGCGGUACCGGAUGGUGUAGCCGCUCUGCCCCGCUCGUACACUAGUGGUAGUCGUCAAGGAAGCAGUGUUGUGGACUCGCUCGCUCUACAAGUCUGUUUCAAUAUACAAUGUGACGAUAACUGUAUACAGUAUCUACCUGUCAUGUAUAGCAAAGAGAGGUACAAUAUUAAAGACACUGGAGCCGUAAACUUUCUGUACAGUAGGCUUAGCAGAUAGUAUUGACUUGGUAAUGAUAGUGUUCGUAGAAUGAAAAUCUUAAGUAUACUACCAAGUCAAUAGAUAUAAUACACACGGUAAACAAUGGAGACUUUAUAUAUAAUACACACGGGACAGUACAACCAAAUAAAAACCACGGUUUUACGACGACUCGUAAACCACACUGACUAACGUGACGGGUAAAUCACAACAAACCCGUAUACGGUACAUAACCUGUGUUGGUACAAUAGAUAUUUCCGUUA